rnacentral:rRNA from 1 species
GCCUGAUCCAGCCAUGCCGCGUGCAGUGAUGAAGGCCUUCGGGUUGUAAACCGCUUUUGUUCGGAAAGAAAAGGCGAGCUCUAAUACCCUUUUGUUCUGACGGUACCGUAAGAAUAAGCACCGGCUAACUACGUGCCAGCAGCCGCGGUAAUACGUAGGGUGCGAGCGCUGAUCCGAAUUACUGGGCGUGAAGCGUGCGCGGGCGGUGAUGUAAGACAGAUGUGAAAUCCCCGGGCUCAACCUGGGACCUGCAUUUGAGACUGCUUGGCUUGAGUGCGGUAGAGGGGGAUGGAAUUCCCCGUGUAGCAAUGAAAUGCGUAGAUAUGCGGAGGAACAUCCAUGGCGAAGGCAAUCCCCUGGACCUGUACUGACGCUCAGGCACGAAAGCGUGGGGAGCAAACAGGAUUAGAUACCCUGGUAGUCCACGCCCUAAACGAUGUCAACUGGAUGUUGGGUUUUCCUUGACUCUCUAACUAAACUCUUACGCGAUCUGGACCCCCCGUGGAGAACAGCGGCACGGUACAGACUCUCAGGAGAUGUCAGGGACCCGCGCAAACGGUGGAUAAUGUG